UACGUAGGGUGCGAGCGUUGUCCGGAAUUAUUGGGCGUAAAGCGCGUGUAGGCGGCUUGAUAAGUCCGCUCUGAAAAGCCCCGGGGCUCAACCCCCGGGAGGCGGGUGGAUACUGUCAAGCUCGAGUCCGGAAGAGGCGAGUGGAAUUCCUGGUGUAGCGGUGAAAUGCGCAGAUAUCAGGAGGAACACCAAUGGCGAAGGCAGCUCGCUGGGACGUGACUGACGCUGAGGCGCGAAAGCCAGGGGAGCAAACGGG
rnacentral:rRNA from 1 species